UUUUUUUUCUACUUUCCCUUCUAACUGGCAGCUAGGGUUUGUUUUUUAUUUUCCCUUUCAAAAAAACACCAUCACCGGCUCCAUUGUGACCAAAAUUCUCCUCUCAUUCACCGGCUUGUCCUCGCCCAUUGUUAUCCCAUCAAGAAUCAUUCGAUUGAGAGCCACCCAGAGGCAGAGGAGAGACACCCAAAGGCAAAGCCUGCUCAUACCACCGGUGAUCCUACUCCAACCUCCCGUUUGUUGUCAUUGUUCUCGCACCAUCGUCAUCCCACCAGGAGCUACUCGUCGCUGCAGCCGCAGUUCUAUAAUCUUAGGUUGCUAUUUAUCCUGGAAAUGUUCUCACAUUGCACAUGUCUAAGCCACCUCAGUUUAGGUACAAAAGUGGACAGUACAUGAUUGUGCAAUGCCCUGCUUUCUCUCCCUUUGUGUGGUUGUAUUUAUCAUAAUUUUCAUGGCAAAAGAAGGUACGUUGAAGAAAUUAUAUAAGGAGUGGACUUUGGUUGGUGCAUUGACUGCAUUAGGACAAGGAAGUUACUUCCAAGAUCCUAAAUGAUGAAAACAAGCAUCAUUUCUUCUGUGAGGUGGUUUUGGCUGUAGAGUCUAGAUGGUAUUUUAGUAUAAGAUGGAUGAUUUACAUAAAUACUUAAAUAAUUGAGUAUUGAUAUAAGCUUAGAUUAUUGGCUCCACUUCAUUGCAAUUUAUUUUUUUAUUUUUAUGUAAGCAACUAGGUGCUAUAUUGCAAGAAGUGAACUUUUUUUUUUCUUUUUCUGGAUUUAGAUUUAUAUUUUUCAUAAACAAUAUUACCAACCUUGGUUGCAAAAAGAGUUGUACGAUAGAAAGUCUAGCAUUAGUUCCCAAAAGAAUCAGGCAAAAGUCAAAUUAUAUUUACUGCUUUUA